UCUCAUAAGCUAAGGAGGUUCGGGCCUGGCUAGUACUUGGGUGGGAGACCGACCGCCUGGGAAUACCGGGUGCUGUAGGCUUUUU
rnacentral:miRNA from 1 species